rnacentral:misc_RNA from 1 species
GAUGAAGAACGUAGCAAAAUGCGAUAAGUAAUGUGAAUUGCAGAAUUCAGUGAAUCAUCGAAUCUUUGAACGCACAUUGCGCCCGCCAGUAUUCUGGCGGGCAUGCCUGUUCGAGCGUCAUUUCAACCCUCAAGCACAGCUUGGUGUUGGGACUCGCGUUAAUUCGCGUUCCUCAAAUUGAUUGGCGGUCACGUCGAGCUUCCAUAGCGUAGUAGUAAAACCCUCGUUACUGGUAAUCGUCGCGGCCACGCCGUUAAACCCCAACUUCUGAAUGUUGACCUCGGAUCAGGUAGGAAUACCCGCUGAACUUAAGCAUAUCAAAAAGCGGAGGA